GGUACUUGGUCUUUGUAGGAGAACACACAGAGAGAAACCGACGAGAGACUCAGGUGAGGAGAAGAAGGAAAAAAUUCAUUUACGAGCGUCAAUAAUUUCUACCCAAAAAUUCUAUGAACCUAAGCGAUUGAAUCUGGUGUUUUUGGCACGCUGAAGUUGUCGACCUAUAGGAAAUUGAAGAGUGAAAGAAAUGGAUUCUUAUGUUUCUUACUGAUUGAAGGUUGACGUGGCAGGUAACUGUGAUGUAAGUGGUGUCGGCUUGGGCGAAGGAGAGAUUAACAUUUGGGUCGAGUAAGGUGUUCUGGUUUGUGUAUAGGGAGGUAACUGCCGAUAACUUUUUGGUGGGCAGUCCUGUGUUGUUAGUCCUUGUGGAUAGUUUGUUUUAGCUUGCAAGUAUGGCUAGUGUGUAUAAGUACCUAUCAUAAAACACGUUGUUUGUAAUUACCUAGAAAUAUUUUGAUUAUGCAGUUUAGUCUGCAGUCUCUUUUGAGUACCUCUUGUAAUGUUUGUACAUUUUGAAACUAUAUCUAAUAUAACGAGUUAGGUGUUAAUUUCAAACA